rnacentral:lncRNA from 1 species
GGGUCAAAUCAAAUCAAAUUUGGACUGAACCAAAAUAGGAAACUCUAGAGUCCCAACUUACUAGGUCUCUCUCCCCUUGCGCAUGCCCUAGUGUCCAUGCUAAAGCAUCUCAUGCAAAAGAGUUUUGUCAUGAAUUAUUUUUGCAUGAAAAAGAGGGUGGACACAGAAGAAAGUUAGGCAGCAUCUCUUGAUGAGUCACCCAUCU